GCUUUCAAAGAAAAUAGCUCAGUCAGUAGAGCAUGAGACUCUUAAUCUCAUGCAAUGUGCAGUAGAGGGGGAUAAAUUAAAACACCAUGGGAAAUGGGGUGGGAAGUCAAGCAAAGACAAAAUUGUUAUUUAUUGAAGUAUAGAUGUUAAUUGUUUGAAAAUUCAAUUAAAAAUUGUUAUAAAAAGAGACCCUUAAUCUCGGGUCAUGUGUUCGAGCCCUAUGUUGGGCA